rnacentral:rRNA from 1 species
UACGUAGGUGGCGAGCGUUGUCCGGAUUUACUGGGCGUAAAGAGCGCGCAGGCGGUCGUGCAAGUCGCGUGUGAAAGCCCCCCGGCUCAACUGGGGAGGGUCACGCGAUACUGCUCGACUCGAAGGCAGGAGAGGGAAGUGGAAUUCCCGGUGUAGUGGUGAAAUGCGUAGAUAUCAGGAAGAACACCCGUGGCGAAGGCGGUCGUGCUGGGCUGUUGGCUA